CCUCUUCCUCUUCCUCUUCCUCUGCCUCACAUUCAUUAUCAAAAGAAGAUCCUCCCCCUCUUUCAGUUCUCUUUGUAUUAUUAUGUCCCUCACCAGCACCUCGUCCUCAUAUGUUUCUGGUCAAUUCUCUUGUCAUGGGUUUCUUUUGGUAUUGUUCUCCGUCAACGAAGAUCAAUUCCGAAUUUUUUUUACAUGGGUUGCUACUGAUCCUAGUAAUGGAUCCAUCCGGAAUUUCUCUACAUGGGUUGCUACUGAUCAUAGUAAUGGAUAAAUCCGGAAUUUGUUUACAUGGGCUGCUACUGAUCCUACUAAUGGAUCAAUCCAGAAUUUCUCUUCAUGGGUUGCUACUGAGCCUUGAUCCAGAUUGAUCGAUCAAUUUAGAAUUUCUCUACAAGAGGAGUUCCUACUGAGCCUUGAUCCACAUUGAUGGAUGGAUUUAUUGGGCUGUCAUGGAUUUUUAUUGACAAUAAUCGAUUGGGCUUUCCCGAAGAACACAACACUUACACAUCUUAACCCUAACAGUGGAACUUCUCUGCUUCUCUGAUAUUCUGGAACUUCUCCGUUUCUCUGGGAUAGGUACAAUGGUACCACCCAAGCUCAAGCCUAAGGCCGAUACACCAAAGCUGAAACCUAAGGCCGAUACAACAAAGCUGAAACCUGAGGCCGAUACAACAAAGCUGAAACCUAAGGCCGAUACAUCCAAGCUCAAACCUAAAGCCGCAGCAACCAAGCUCAAACCUAAAGUUGCAGAACCAUCACCACCAAGUCCUAACGGCGAGGGUACAAUUUCUCUUUGAUACAAUUGUCAUUAGUUCAAUUAUGAACCAAACAUUGUAUAGAUCUUUCGAGAAGAAAAAGAAGAAAAACCAAAAAUGAAUCGAAAUAGGAUUGAUAAUGUUGAAACUUAUGUGCGUUGUACUAAGCAUUUUAGUCUGAAAUAGUAGUUGUACUAAGCAAAGCAUUGGUUAUGAGAUAUUAUGACCUAGUGGAAGAGGUUUUGUGAUAGUGUUAUCUUCGUUGAUUAGGUGUAAACUUAUCUGCUUUGUAAUAAGCAUUUUAGUCUCAAAUAGUAGUUGUACUAAGCAAAUCAUUGAUUAUGAGAUAUUAUGACCUAGUGGAAGAGGUUUUGUGAUAAUUGUUUUGUCAUCUUUAGUGUCAAACAGUUGUUGUACUAAGCAUUUUAGUCUCAAACAGUAGUUGUACUAAGACCAUCCACAAUGGCGUGGAUUUGGCCCGUCCCCAAUAUUUAUUGGAUUUAAAUUUAAAUGAAAAAAGCCCAAUAUCUGAAAAACGGUUCUUAUUUGGGGACGUUUUUUUACCGUCCUCUUCGCCACGUGUAGCCGUGUGAUUUGUUCUCGAAUAAGCUAGGUCUAAAAAAAAUGUAUUCGGGAGACAAAAUCAUCCCGAGUUCUUUCUUCUCCCUCUUGACGGCGACCACGAAGGCGAUUCGAUCCUCCACGACGUUCUGUUCUUUUCACCGGAAAAUCUUGCCAGAUUAACGAAGCCGAUCUUCUGUCGCAUCCGAAGCCGGUCCGAUCUUCAAUACCUAAGACGUCCAGCGGUUCGAUCUUCUCUCCCGAAGCGAUCUGUCCCUGUCACCCGAAGCUUGUCCGGCGGUUCGAGCUUCUCUCCCGAUGAUAUCCGUCUAAAUAAGCUCAGCCUGCAACAAAGAGGAAACAAGCUGGUGAAGGUUCGCAGUCAUCAAGCUGCAGUGUUGAGGAGUCUGAGAAGAGGCCAGAAGGGAUCAAGGCUGCCAAGGCGAAGAGGAACAAUGCUCAGUCCACAAACGUGAAGACUCUUGCUGAGUAUAAGAGCAUGUGGGAUGUCAAGAAAGAGGAAUUAGCUGAAAAGGAGAAACUACAGAAGCUGGCCAUCCUAGACACUCUCCUAGCCAAAAAAGAACCCUUGAGUGCGAGUGAAGAAAUCAUCAUGAACAAGAUAGUGUCCCAGUAUUUCUGAUAUUAUAGAAUGUGUUUGUUGUUUGUUUUUCUUGCUUAGUACUCGGCUUAUGUAUUUGAUUUGUAUUCCCUGGUUGUUUGAUUUGUAUUUCCUGUUUAAGUAUUUCUUGCUCAGUUGUGUAUUUCUUGUUUCAAUCUAAAUUAAUAUAAGUCUAUUUUAGUA